rnacentral:rRNA from 1 species
GAUGAACGCUGGCGGCGUGCCUAAUACAUGCAAGUCGAGCGAACAGAUGAGGAGCUUGCUCCUCUGACGUUAGCGGCGGGCGGGUGAGUAACACGUGGAUAACCUACCUAUAAGACUGGGAUAACUUCGGGAAACCGGAGCUAAUACCGGAUAAUAUAUUGAACCGCAUGGUUCAAUAGUGAAAGACGGUUUUGCUGUCACUUAUAGAUGGAUCCGCGCCGCAUUAGCUAGUUGGUAAGGUAACGGCUUACCAAGGCAACGAUGCGUAGCCGACCUGAGAGGGUGAUCGGCCACACUGGAACUGAGACACGGUCCAGAAUCCUACGGGAGGCAGCAGUAGGGAAUCUUCCGCAAUGGGCGAAAGCCUGACGGAGCAACGCCGCGUGAGUGAUGAAGGUCUUCGGAUCGUAAAACUCUGUUAUUAGGGAAGAACAAAUGUGUAAGUAACUAUGCACGUCUUGACGGUACCUAAUCAGAAAGCCACGGCUAACUACGUG